rnacentral:rRNA from 1 species
CCUAGGGGGGCUGCAGUGGGGAAUAUUGGACAAUGGGCGAAAGCCUGAUCCAGCCAUGCCGCGUGUGUGAAGAAGGCCUUCGGGUUGUAAAGCACUUUCAGUGGGGAAGAAAGCCUUGGGGCUAAUACCCUCGAGGAAGGACAUCACCCACAGAAGAAGCACCGGCUAACUCCGUGCCAGCAGCCGCGGUAAUACGGAGGGUGCGAGCGUUAAUCGGAAUUACUGGGCGUAAAGCGCGCGUAGGCGGUCUGAUAAGCCGGUUGUGAAAGCCCCGGGCUCAACCUGGGAACGGCAUCCGGAACUGUCAGGCUAGAGUGCAGGAGAGGAAGGUAGAAUUCCCGGUGUAGCGGUGAAAUGCGUAGAGAUCGGGAGGAAUACCAGUGGCGAAGGCGGCCUUCUGGACUGACACUGACGCUGAGGUGCGAAAGCGUGGGUAGCAAACAGGAUUAGAUACCCCAGUAGUC